rnacentral:rRNA from 1 species
GUAGGGUGCGAGCGUUGUCCGGAAUUAUUGGGGCGUAAAGAGCUUGUAGGCGGUUUGUCGCGUCUGCUGUGAAAAUUCAGGGGCUUAACCCUGGGACGUGCAGUGGGUACGGGCAGACUAGAGUAUGGUAGGGGAGACUGGAAUUCCUGGUGUAGCGGUGGAAUGCGCAGAUAUCAGGAGGAACACCGAUGGCGAAGGCAGGUCUCUGGGCCAUUACUGACGCUGAGAAGCGAAAGCAUGGGGAGCGAACAGGAUUAGAUACCCUGGUAGUCCAUGCCGUAAACGUUGGGCGCUAGGCGUGGGUCUCAUUCCACGAGAUCCGUGUCGCAGCUAACGCAUUAAGCGCCCCGCCUGGGGAGUACGGCCGCAGGGCUA